UUUGCUUUCGGAAAAGUCCUCAAAAUGUCCUACUGAUAGCUUUACUGUUUACAAUAAGAAAAGAAAAAAAAAAAAGCCUUUAGCUACUUAUUCCAUCAUUCAUGCUUCGCCUUCAUCUUCAGUAGCUUGUGAAGACUGUUUCGACGGAAGCGUGUGUAAGAAGAAACAGAUUUUACAAAUCCAACAAGCAAACAAGUUUUACAAGUCCAGCAAUCAAAUACAAAUAGUUGACAACCAUGUUGAAUUUUCGUGAAGUACUCUGACGAAUCAGUGGAAUCACAGUGGUUUCGGCGUAUGAACUGACAAUAUAUAUCUAUGGAUACUAAUUAAAUAUUAUAUCUAUGGAGAUAGAGAUUCAACUUAAACCACUGAACAAGCCUUUGAUUUUAAGAACUGUUGAGAGAGUAGGUUGAGAAUUUUUACACACAGCGUCACAAUUUCAAAAAGAAAUAAUUUGAUGGUAUACCUUAAAUUUUAUUUUGGAAAAUUCAAAUCUCAAAAAGAAAUGUGUAAAUUGUUGCAUCCAUUCAAUGUUAGUUAUGUGUGUAUAGAGAAGCCAAUUCCUUUUAUUAAGCACAAAGGAAAUCCAAUUACGAAUGCAACUCCA